rnacentral:tRNA from 1 species
GGUUCAGUCGCGCGAAACCGACUGGUCUUGAAAACCGUCGUGGCAGCGAUGUCACCGUGGGUUCAAAUCCCACACCCA